rnacentral:rRNA from 1 species
AGUGAACGCUGGCGGUAGGCCUAACACAUGCAAGUCGAACGGCAGCACAGUAAGAGCUUGCUCUUACGGGUGGCGAGUGGCGGACGGGUGAGGAAUACAUCGGAAUCUACUUUUUCGUGGGGGAUAACGUAGGGAAACUUACGCUAAUACCGCAUACGACCUACGGGUGAAAGCAGGGGAUCUUCGGACCUUGCGCGAUUGAAUGAGCCGAUGUCGGAUUAGCUAGUUGGCGGGGUAAAGGCCCACCAAGGCGACGAUCCGUAGCUGGUCUGAGAGGAUGAUCAGCCACACUGGAACUGAGACUCGGUCCAGACUCCGACGGGAGGCAGCAGUGGGGAAUAUUGGACAAUGGGCGCAAGCCUGAUCCAGCCAUACCGCGUAGGUGAAGAAGGCCUUCGGGUUGUAAAGCCCUGUUGUUGGGAAAGAAAAGCAGCAGGUUAAUACCCCGCUGUUCUGACGGUACCCAAAGAAUAAGCACCGGCUAACUUCGUG